rnacentral:rRNA from 1 species
CGAACGAGCGAGAGAGAGCUUGCUUUCUCAAGCGAGUGGCGAACGGGUGAGUAACGCGUGAGGAACCUGCCUCAAAGAGGGGGACAACAGUUGGAAACGACUGCUAAUACCGCAUAAGCCCACGGCUCGGCAUCGAGCAGAGGGAAAAGGAGCAAUCCGCUUUGAGAUGGCCUCGCGUCCGAUUAGCUAGUUGGUGAGGUAAUGGCCCACCAAGGCGACGAUCGGUAGCCGGACUGAGAGGUUGAACGGCCACAUUGGGACUGAGACACGGCCCAGACUCCUACGGGAGGCAGCAGUGGGGAAUAUUGCACAAUGGGGGAAACCCUGAUGCAGCGACGCCGCGUGGAGGAAGAAGGUCUUCGGAUUGUAAACUCCUGUUGUUGAGGAAGAUAAUGACGGUACUCAACAAGGAAGUGACGGCUAACUACGUGCCAGCAGCCGCGGUAAAACGUAGGUCACAAGCGUUGUCCGGAAUUACUGGGUGUAAAGGGAGCGCAGGCGGGAAGACAAGUUGGAAGUGAAAUCUAUGGGCUCAACCCAUAAACUGCUUUCAAAACUGUUUUUCUUGAGUAGUGCAGAGGUAGGCGGAAUUCCCGGUGUAGCGGUGGAAUGCGUAGAUAUCGGGAGGAACACCAGUGGCGAAGGCGGCCUACUGGGCAC